rnacentral:rRNA from 1 species
UGGGGAAUCUUGGGCAAUGGGCGAAAGCCUGACCCAGCGACGCCGCGUGGGGGAUGAAGGCCUUCGGGUUGUAAACCUCUGUCAGGGGGGACGAAAGCCUUGCGGUGAAUAGCCGGAAGGUUUGACGGUACCCCCAAAGGAAGCCCCGGCUAACUCCGUGCCAGCAGCCGCGGUAAUACGGAGGGGGCGAGCGUUAUUCGGAAUUACUGGGCGUAAAGCGCGCGCAGGUGGCGUGGCAAGUGGCGGGUGAAAGCCCUCGGCUCAACCGAGGAAUUGCCUGCCAAACUACCGCGCUUGAGGCCGGGAGGGGGAAGCGGAAUUCCUGGUGUAGCGGUGAAAUGCGUAGAUACCAGGAGGAACACCGGUGGCGAAGGCGGCUUCCUGGACCGGUUCUGACACUCAUGCGCGAAAGCGUGGGGAGCAAACAGGAUUAGAUACCCUGGUAGUCCACGCCCUAAACGAUGGGCACUAGGCGUCGCGGGUGUCGACCCCUGCGGUGCCGUAGCUAACGCGUUAAGUGCCCCGCCUGGGGAGUACGGUCGCAAGGCUG